rnacentral:rRNA from 1 species
GAUUACCCGCUGAGUUUAAGCAUAUCAAUAAAA